UACAGAGGUGGCAAGCGUUGUUCGGAAUUACUGGGCGUAAAGGGCGAGUAGGUGGCCAUCUAAGUCAGACGUGAAAUCCCCUGGCUUAACCUGGGAACUGCGUCUGAUACUGGACGGCUUGAGUAUGGGAGAGGAACGUAGAAUUCCAGGUGUAGCGGUGAAAUGCGUAGAUAUCUGGAGGAAUACCGGUGGCGAAGGCGGCGUUCUGGACCAUUACUGACACUGAAUCGCGAAAGCUAGGGGAGCAAACGGG
rnacentral:rRNA from 1 species